rnacentral:rRNA from 1 species
GACGAACGCUGGCGGCGUGCUUAACACAUGCAAGUCGAACGGUAAGGCCCUUCGGGGUACACGAGUGGCGAACGGGUGAGUAACACGUGGGUGAUCUGCCCUGCACUUCGGGAUAAGCCUGGGAAACUGGGUCUAAUACCGGAUAGGACCACUGCCUACCUGGGUGGUGGGGGAAAGCUUUUGCGGUGUGGGAUGGGCCCGCGGCCUAUCAGCUUGUUGGUGGGGUGAUGGCCUACCAAGGCGACGACGGGUAGCCGGCCUGAGAGGGUGACCGGCCACACUGGGACUGAGAUACGGCCCAGACUCCUACGGGAGGCAGCAGUGGGGAAUAUUGCACAAUGGGCGCAAGCCUGAUGCAGCGACGCCGCGUGAGGGAUGACGGCCUUCGGGUUGUAAACCUCUUUCAGCACCGACGAAGCGCAAGUGACGGUAGGUGCAGAAGAAGGACCGGCCAACUACGUGCCAGCCGCCGCCGUAA